UAGGGAAUCUUCCACAAUGGACGCAAGUCUGAUGGAGCAACGCCGCGUGAGUGAAGAAGGUUUUCGGAUCGUAAAGCUCUGUUGUUGGUGAAGAAGGAUAGAGGCAGUAACUGGUCUUUAUUUGACGGUAAUCAACCAGAAAGUCACGGCUAACUACGUGCCACAGCCGCGGUAAUACGUAGGUGGCAAGCGUUGUCCGGAUUUAUUGGGCGUAAAGCGAGCGCAGGCGGAAUGAUAAGUCUGAUGUGAAAGCCCACGGCUCAACCGUGGAACUGCAUCGGAAACUGUCAUUCUUGAGUGCAGAAGAGGAGAGUGGAACUCCAUGUGUAGCGGUGGAAUGCGUAGAUAUAUGGAAGAACACCAGUGGCGAAGGCGGCUCUCUGGUCUGCAACUGACGCUGAGGCUCGAAAGCAUGGGUAGCGAACAGGAUUAGA
rnacentral:rRNA from 1 species